rnacentral:rRNA from 1 species
UACGUAGGGUGCUAGCGUUAUCCGGAUUUACUGGGCGUAAAGGGUACGUAGGCGGUUUUGUGGGUCCACAUUAAAAGGCAUUGGCUCAACCAAUGUUCGGUGUGGAAACUAUAAAACUUGAGUAGAUGAGGGGCAAGUGGAAUUCUCAGUGUAGCGGUGAAAUGCGUAGAUAUUGAGAAGAACACCAGUAGCGAAGGCGGCUUUCUGGACUGUAACUGACACUGAGGCACGAAAGCGUGGGUAGCAAACAGG